rnacentral:rRNA from 1 species
UACGUAGGGGCAAGCGUUGUCCGGAAUCAUUGGGCGUAAAGCGCGUGUAGGCGGCCUGAUAAGUCCGCUGUGAAAGUCCAGGCUCAACCCUGGAAUGCCGGUGGAUACUGUCGGGCUCGAGUCCGGAAGAGGAGAGUGGAAUUCCUGGUGUAGCGGUGAAAUGCGCAGAUAUCAGGAAGAACACCCGUGGCGAAGGCGGCUCUCUGGGACGGUACUGACGCUGAGACGCGAAAAGCGUGGGGGAGCGAACAGG